GACGAAGGUGGCAAGCGUUGUUCGGAAUCACUGGGCUUAAAGAGCAUGUAGGCGGCUCAUCAAGCGUCUUGUGAAAUCCCUCGGCUCAACCGAGGAAUUGCUGGACGGACUGAUCGGGCUUGAGGCAGGUAGGGGCGCGUGGAACUCUUGGUGGAGCGGUGGAAUGCGUAGAUAUCAAGAGGAACGCCAGAGGCGAAAGCGAUGCGCUGGGCCUGUCCUGACGCUGAGAUGCGAAAGCCAGGGGAGCAAACGGG
rnacentral:rRNA from 1 species